AAGUCGUAACAAGGUUUCCGUAGGUGAACCUGCGGAAGGAUCAUUACAGAGUUCAUGCCCUAACGGGUAGACCUCCCACCCUUGUGUAUUUAUACUUUGUUGCUUUGGCGGAGUCGCAGAUCACAGUUGUGACAUCAGCUCGCGUUGACACUCCUCCGCCAGAGGAAACCUAAAUUCUGAUUAUUAGUGUCGUCUGAGUACUAUAUAAUAGUUAAAACUUUCAACAACGGAUCUCUUGGUUCUG
rnacentral:misc_RNA from 1 species